rnacentral:tRNA from 1 species
GGAAGGGUGACAGAUAGGAAUUGUGCCGGUUUGCUAAACCGAGGCCGGGUCUAAAAGCCCGAGUGGGAUCGUUACCCACCCCUUCCGCCA